GUUUUACACUUUAUUUUUUGUUCUUUUUUUGUCAGUUAAGCUUCUACACAAGUGCCUGUCAAUCAUUUGGCUUUUUGAAGUUUGCCACGCCCACUUACAAGGCAGCAGCCAAUCACAUUAAAGCUCUUGUUAGUUGGCCACCUGAAGCCAGUUAACCACCGGAGUGGGGUGGCCGACAGGGGCAAAUGAGCUGCAAAGUCCAUAACUAGGGUGGCCGACAGGGGCAAAUGAGCUGCAAAGUCCAUAACUAGCUGCUAUGGCUGGUAUCAGUGGCCUUCAUGUAAAUAUCCCCCGGUGACGUGGGCUCAGAACAAAGAACAAGUGUAUCAGAACAAGCUGGUCCGUCUCCUAACAAGGUGUCUGUCCUUGAGAGAUUUGUCUCGUCAUCAAUCAGCAGCGGCCGCAGAGCCUGCAGAAAGAUUGAGAGCUGGAGUGAAAGAUACAAAGAGGAAUGAAAAGAAUGAGGGCUACUCCAUGUCCUCCCACGACACGACAACGCCCGGCUGAAUGAGCGCUUCGGCCCCCACAGCGUCCCAGGGGACUGGCGUCUGUCGGCGUGAUGCACUCUCCACUGCUGCAAACUCCAUUACCCACUGUCCUGCUUCUCCGUCACUGACAGCGGGGCUAAUUGGUGCAACCGUUGGACCAACCGGAUCCAGUGCCUAGAACUUCAUCUCCACAAACGAUCGAGCAGUGCGCCUCGCUUCCCUGGACUCCCCCCUGGAAUUGGACUGCCUCCCUCGAUCCUCGACCCGCGCUCGGACACGGACCUCUGACGCCUCGCUAUUCGCCCUGACUCCCUGCCUGCU